UGAAGAUCUUGAUGAGUUAUUUCAUGGCUUC
rnacentral:piRNA from 1 species